UUUUUUUUCAGUUGUAGUUAGACACAAUACUUUUAUUUCAUUUAUUUAUUUUUAGGUGGUGCUGAGAAUGGAAUCCAGAGCCUUGCACUUGCUAGGCGAGCACUCUACUGCUGAGCUACAACCCCAGACCACUAUACCUGUUUUUUAAUCACAAUAGAGGAAAUACAGUUUAACCAAGACAAGACAUAUACAAGGAAGAUGGCGCCAUCUAUUGUUGUUAUUAUAAACGACGUCAAGCUAGUAGUUUUGCUGUCUUGUUUCAUUCUGUUUGUCUUGAAAAGUUAGAUAUCCCCUUGUGAAUUCACUGUGGGGCUGUGAGACAGCUCAGUGCAAUUUGAAAAAUCACAAGAUUAUAUAAUAGUGCUUUAUAAAUGUUGCAUUUCCUGAUUUUGAUAAACUUUUCUUAUGUAGGACAAAGUCCUUGUUCUUAGACAAGACAUAUUGAAAUAUAUAUGGAUAAAGAAACAUGUCUGCAAAUUAAUCUCAAAUAAUUCAAAGAAAAUAUGUAUAUAUGUACAUUCAGAAAGCUAGUGGGCACAAUUGAUAUGAUAAAUGGAACAAAAUGUUAAUAAUUGAUGGGUC
rnacentral:lncRNA from 1 species